rnacentral:lncRNA from 1 species
AAUUAAAUAAAAUUGUAUACAACCAUACGGAACUGAAAACUAGAACCAGAACUAUAAGGAACAAAAAUUAGAACUAUGCGGUUCUGGUUCUACCUCUUUGAAGAACCAGAACCGACGGUUCUGGAACCGAACUGUGGGUUCUAGAAUCGUGGCCAUGCCUAACUGAAGACACUAUGGUGCGAACUUUUCAGUGGGAGGAAAAGUGCACUGAUGGGUAACACAAAUACAAAUGAAGGGCAAAUCUAUGUCAACAUAAUCACAGUAUCCUAUGCCAUUGAACUUCUCCUUGCAAACUGCCAGACAGGUUUCAAGAUCAUCCUUAGGACAUACAUUGGGUAUAAACUUUUUGCAAGUAAGUUCUCGUGCAUGAGUAUUCCCUGCCGCUGCCCCCAAGAAAAAAAAAAGAAAAAAAAAAAACAGACACAAACACAUUACUCAUGAGAAUGUUAAGUAAUUUGAAAAAAAAGAAAUAUCUAAUGAAUUAGUCUAACUGAAUUUAAUAUUCAAUUAUGAAUAAAGACUACCUCUCAACUAGCAUAUAAUAUCUUACGGUAUAAGCACAUGCAGAUAUUAUUUUCUGAACUUUGGUUUAAAAGAAUAAAAAAGAGAACAUAACCACAUUAAGAGAAAUGAAGUACAAAAUAACAUGUAUUUAUAAAUUGAAUAAUGCACAUACCUAAAAGAACAAGAGCAAGAAGCAGGAUGCAAGCAUAAGAAGUUUGAGCAGCCAUAUCUAUAGGUAAGGUAUUUCGUCUAAGAGCUUUUUAUCUAUGUGAG